UAUUGUUUUUAAACAUGGUCAGAUUGUUUCAAUGUGUGGAAUACAACCGGUGAAGGCCAACAUGGCUUUCCUGCAGGUGUAGUAAUGGGAGUAACCACGAAGGCUGAGGACGUCGCAAACUGAGGAAGCCCUCUGUACGAUAAUCUUAAGAUUUACCCAAACUCCAAUUCAACCCUAAAAGUAAUGAUACAUUUGCAUUGACUUACAUUGAUUAUUACAGCCAGACCAUAUUUUAAUCAAUAACUAGUUGGGAGCAGUUAGGUUUUACAUCUUUAUCUCUUCACUUCACCUGGAGACUGAGACGGUUCCUGGUGUCUCAUUUGGACCAGGUUUUGGUCUUCAGAAGAGUACUGCCAAAAAUGGUUUCCAUUAGGUACUAAGUACACACCCCACACGGACUAAUACCAGUGCCACACAAACAAUUUUUAUUCACUGGCGUGGAAUUUCUGGUCAAGUUUGUACAGCGAUAAGAUUUCAUUCCUUUAUCCUGAAGUCAUUGUUUCUGCAGGGAGAAGUUGGCAAUGUGUGUGUGAGAGAGAGAGUGUGUGUGUGUGUAGCGUUGGUGAAGUAAAGCCACGUGUCUCUUUAGAUUUUUGGUUUCACUUAUUAAAAUCAGGUAAUCUGAGUGAGGUCCAUAAUUCCAUUACCUGAUAGUUUCCCCAUCCUGCAUUUGUCUGUGCGAUAGAUGACAACGCUUCACCAUUAAGUUGCCUUUCCUCAGUCUCUGCACGUCAGCUGACUGGGCAUAAUUCUCUAUUUAAAAAAACAGAUUCAUUUUGACAAGUGUUACACCUAGCACUAGUCAAAAUGAAGCCAAGAAGUGUUAUAUGUUGUGUUUUUUUUUGUUUGUUUUUUUUCUUGGUCAUUCACGGUUAAGAUAGACACGGUGUCCAUCAAGUCAGAUAUUUUGGACUAAGGUCUGGAUGGUCCAACCUCUCUUGAAUCCAUGGAGAAGUAGGAGGUGGCAAUUAAAGCAACGUGCUGCAGGUGUGUGAAGGUCGAAAGCUGAGGCCUCUGAUUUAGAAGCAUUGGUUAAAGAGGCAGUGUGAACCUAGGCCUUAAGAGUGGCAGCGGUUUCUUUAUUUGCCCAACUGUGGGGUCAUGGUACUUCGUUGUAAAAACAUUUCUUCUGUCCAGUGAGAACAGCAGAUUCGGUUCUGUCUGAGUUGCAGCUCCACAGACGUCCUGCAGAACGGGAUGUGGCCGUCUGUCCAGACAGUACAGCUGUGUCCAUUGAUAUCUUCAUCAAGGAGAAACACGGGUCACGCUUAAGGACGGGGGGAUCUGGCAGCUUUACAACAGGAAAGGAGCAUCGGAGCCUCGCAUUCUUCAGCGUAAGCCAGAGGAAAUGGCCUCAGCUGGACUCUCUCUUCGGCUGCUGGAGUCGGGGAGGCUACCAAGCAACGUUUGCGCCUCACAAUCACUGGAGCUCCUCCAACCUUCUCCCUCCGACAACAGGGCAGUGAGAGUGACUCAGCCGUUCCGCUGGUGUCUGGCCGUC